GGCUUUACUGCGGCGAUUUGUUAAAAGGGAAACUUAUACAGGACGCGAAAGCCCAUGCAACUUAUCACAAUCCAGGUGUCCUGAAGAGAAGGAACUGGUGCUCUGGAAAAAUGUGGACAUCGGCCUGGGUGCUGAAUCUGCCAUCAAGGUGAUGUUAUCAUGUCAACGUUCCGAAUCGUUGACCUCUGUGGAAGGACGGCGAUGACGUUUCCCUGGCUUUCAAAGCCAUGAAGGACCGCCUUGAUGUGUUAUUCUACACAAACCCUGCAGCAGCCUUACCCUGAUUGCUGCAGUUUUUGCCAGAGCCUCCUCCUUCUCUUCCCAUGGCCAAGCACUGUGGAAAGAGGAUUUUCAGUGAACAAAGAGGUGGAGACCUGUAAUCUCAUGACCGCACCAUGCGU